rnacentral:rRNA from 1 species
UCGGGGGAUCGACCCCCUCGGUGUCGUAGCCAACGCGUUAAGUGUUCCGCCUGGGGAGUACGCACGCAAGUGUGAAACUCAAAGGAAUUGACGGGGGCCCGCACAAGCGGUGGAGUAUGUGGUUUAAUUCGAUGCAACGCGAAGAACCUUACCAGGGUUUGACAUCCUGCGAAUCUCUUGGAAACAGGAGAGUGCCUUCGGGAACGCAGUGACAGGUGGUGCAUGGCUGUCGUCAGCUCGUGUCGUGAGAUGUUGGGUUAAGUCCCGCAACGAGCGCAACCCACGUCUUUAGUUGCCAGCAUUUAGUUGGGCACUCUAGAGAGACUGCCGGUGAUAAACCGGAGGAAGGUGUGGAUGACGUCAAGUCAUCAUGCCCCUUACAUCCUGGGCUACACACGUACUACAAUGCUACGGACAAAGGGCAGCAAGUUCGCGAGGACAAGCAAAUCCCAUAAACCGUGGCUCAGUUCAGAUCGUAGGCUGCAACUCGCCUACGUGAAGGCGGAACCGCUAGUAAUCGCAGGUCAGCAUACUGCGGUGAAUACGUUCCCGGGCCUUGUACACACCGCCCGUCACACCAUGGAAGUUGGCCACGCCCGAAGCCGUUACUCCAACCCUUGUGGAGGAGGACGUCGAAGGUGGGGCUGAUGACUGGGGUGAAGUCGUAACAAGGUAUCCGUACCGGAAGGUGCGGAUGGAUCACCUCCUAA